UGGGGAAUAUUGCACAAUGGGCGCAAGCCUGAUGCAGCCAUGCCGCGUGUAUGAAGAAGGCCUUCGGGUUGUAAAGUACUUUCAGUCGGGAGGAAGGUGGUAAGGUUAAUAACCUUAUCAAUUGAUGUUACCGACAGAAGAAGCACCGGCUAACUCCGUGCCAGCAGCCGCGGUAAUACGGAGGGUGCAAGCGUUAAUCGGAAUUACUGGGCGUAAAGCGCACGCAGGCGGUUGAUUGAGUCAGAUGUGAAAUCCCCGGGCUUAACCCGGGAAUUGCAUCUGAUACUGGUCAGCUAGAGUCUUGUAGAGGGGGGUAGAAUUCCAUGUGUAGCGGUGAAAUGCGUAGAGAUGUGGAGGAAUACCGGUGGCGAAGGCGGCCCCCUGGACAAAGACUGACGCUCAGGUGCGAAAGCGUGGGGAGCAAACAGG
rnacentral:rRNA from 1 species